GUUACAAGGAUAAUAUGUACAUGAAUAUACAUAAUAUACAUGAAAAUAAUAAUCACAACAUUAGCGUAUAUUAAUACGAAUCGGAAGAUAUCGAAGCUAAACGUAUCACAUAUAAUUCGUGGAAUAGAUACCAAAAAAAACCAUAUUGGAAUUCCAUCAACCCAAAACAUCGUUUACACAUAUAUUAUACACAAUUACACACUAGAUUGAAAGUCAUCGAGACGGAAAUCAGAGAAAUUAUCUCUAACAAAGAAUCACCAACGUCACUGCAAGUAAUACACGUCAAAACAAUCGAACGCCAUCCAUAUAUGUCUACCAUGUACCUAUAUUGCAAUAACGAAGA